rnacentral:lncRNA from 1 species
GAGUAGCUGGGACUACAGAACUCAUCCCAAGAACAGUAUCCAUAAGGAAGAUGGAAAAGGGGGACAGAAUAAAUGUUACCCUAAGAAGUCCAGAGCAACAUGGUACCUGAUUAGCUGUUUCCUCUUCUGGCUCCUGAAUAUUAAAGACAGUUGCACUGUCAGCACCUAGCAGUCGACGAGCCAUUCUUUCUUCGUAUGUUAACCUCUAAACAACAUUUAAACAACGGAAAAAGCCACUGAAGUAUGUAUAGUAUCUGUGCGCCGAGAUACACAGGAAAGCAUGGAACAUGUGGAUGGAAGGAACCGGG